rnacentral:rRNA from 1 species
GAUGAACGCUAGCGGCAGGCUUAACACAUGCAAGUCGAGGGGUAUAGUUCUUCGGAACUAGAGACCGGCGCACGGGUGCGUAACGCGUAUGCAAUCUACCUUUUGCAGAGGGAUAGCCCAGAGAAAUUUGGAUUAAUACCUCAUAGUAUGUGAGAAUGGCAUCAUUUUCACAUUAAAGUCACAACGGCAAAAGAUGAGCAUGCGUCCCAUUAGCUAGUUGGUAAGGUAACGGCUUACCAAGGCAACGAUGGGUAGGGGUCCUGAGAGGGAGAUCCCCCACACUGGUACUGAGACACGGACCAGACUCCUACGGGAGGCAGCAGUGAGGAAUAUUGGACAAUGGGCGCAAGCCUGAUCCAGCCAUGCCGCGUGCAGGAUGACGGUCCUAUGGAUUGUAAACUGCUUUUUGUACAGGAAGAAACACUCCCUCGUGAGGGAGCUUGACGGUACUGUAAGAAUAAGGAUCGGCUAACUCCGU